GGGGACAUAGCACAGUGGUAGAGUAUGUGCUUAGGAUGUGCAAGGAAUUGGGUUCAAUCCCCAGCAUCCCCC
rnacentral:tRNA from 1 species